UGUCCCUCAGCUCCACGCGGCCCAGGGCUCAGGGAAACGAAGAGGUUCAAUAAAAAUUUUUAAUAUUAGCUUUUAUGGGUAUUUGCACUUUGGUCAGGAGAGCUGAGUACGGAGGCUCCAUUAAUCAGCCCCCGACCUCAGGUUUGGAUACUCAGUUUAU
rfam:Procavia capensis cont1.101206, whole genome shotgun sequence.